ACGGGAUGCUUAGGCAUCUAGUGGCGGACGGGUGAGUAACGCGUGAGAAUCUGGCUCCAGGUCGGGGAUAACAGUUGGAAACGACUGCUAAUACCGGAUGUGCCGAGAGGUGAAAGAUUUAUUGCCUGGAGAUGAGCUCGCGUCUGAUUAGCUAGUUGGUGGUGUAAGGGACCACCAAGGCGUCGAUCAGUAGCUGGUCUGAGAGGAUGAUCAGCCACACUGGGACUGAGACACGGCCCAGACUCCUACGGGAGGCAGCAGUGGGGAAUUUUCCGCAAUGGGCGAAAGCCUGACGGAGCAAUACCGCGUGAGGGAGGAAGGCUCUUGGGUCGUAAACCUCUUUUCUCAAGGAAGAAGAAAGUGACGGUACUUGAGGAAUAAGCAUCGGCUAACUCCGUGCCAGCAGCCGCGGUAAUACGGAGGAUGCAAGCGUUAUCCGGAAUGAUUGGGCGUAAAGGGUCUGCAGGUGGAACUGAAAGUCUGCUGUUAAAGAGUUUGGCUUAACCAAAUAAAAGCGGUGGAAACUACAGAACUAGAGUGCGGUAGGGGCAAAAGGAAUUCCUGGUGUAGCGGUGAAAUGCGUAGAUAUCAGGAAGAACACCGGUGGCGAAAGCGUUUUGCUAGACCAUAACUGACACUGAGGGACGAAAGCUAGGGGAGCGAAUGGGAUUAGAUACCCCAGUAGUCCUAGCCGUAAACGAUGGAUACUAGGCGUGGC
rnacentral:rRNA from 1 species